rnacentral:rRNA from 1 species
GAAUUUUGGACAAUGGGGGCAACCCUGAUCCAGCCAUCCCGCGUGUGCGAUGAAGGCCUUCGGGUUGUAAAGCACUUUAAGCAGUGAAGAAGACUCCAUGGCUAAUACCCAUGGACGAUGACCUUCGCUGCAGAAUAAGCACCGGCUAACUCUGUGCCAGCAGCCGCGGUAAUACAGAGGGUGCAAGCGUUAAUCGGAAUUACUGGGCGUAAAGCAAGCGUAGGUGGCUUGAUAAGUCAGAGGUGAAAUCCCCGGGCUUAACCUGGGAACUGCAUCUGAUACUGUUAGGCUAGAAUAGGUGAGAGGAAGGUAGAAUUCCAGGUGUAGCGGUGAAAUGCGUAGAGAUCUGGAGGAAUACCGAUGGCGAAGGCAGCCUUCUGGCAUCAUAUUGACACUGAGGUUCGAAAGCGUGGGUAGCAAAC